GUUGGAGGAUGAGGUGUUAAUACUUGAAAAGAUCCAAGGAGCUCAAAAUCCAGCCGACAUGCUUACAAAGGCAGUAACCAUUGAUAAAUUGAAGUUGUGCUCAGCUUCAAUUGGUUUGCUAGAAUAACAAAGACAGAAAGGCUGCUGCGUUGAUCGAGGUGUGAAGACAGAUUGAAAUCAGUCUUCAAGUGGGAGAUUGUUAGUCAAAUAGGAGCACCUCAACAAUUCCAACUUUGCUACCUCAAAUUUCAAACAUGGCUAGCUGCACCUACCACAUCAUUUGCCUAUAAAUAAAC
rnacentral:lncRNA from 1 species